rnacentral:lncRNA from 1 species
GUGAGGGGCGGGAAGAGCGCAGCUGCGAGCAGGCGGGCGGAGGGUAGCGGGAAGCCCGGGCGGAGGGGGCGGCGUGAGAGCCUCGGGGCGGGGGCGGGGCCUGGCGCGUCCGCCGAGCGCGGGGGUUUGUUUAUUUUCCCGGUUGGUAGCGGCGCUGGCGCUGGUUAGAGGUUCGCCGGUGACGUGAGCGCCCGAGUUGGGGGAGAGGACCAGAACCACCUGCUGGAGAAAGGGAGCUACGGGGGCCGGGCAGGGUCCAAACGCCUCACGUGGGCGGCGGCGCCACGGUCUUCGGGGUCACAGGGAAGAGAAGGGCUCUCCUCAAGCGGGUGGAAGGAGGGAGGCCUCCCGAGGGAAUGAGACUCCAGGCCACUCCCCCGCAGCAAGGCAGGAUCACCUGCGUCGCGGAGAGCAGUUAGAGGUCCCUGGAGUGGAAAAGGGCAGUGGGACCUGGUAGCUUGGGUUCCCUGCAACUUGGGGUUCGACCUCCAGGCAAUGAAGUAGGGAUGGUCCUGCAAGUCAAGAUUCCAGUAGCAAGAGUGCAUCAGAUCUCUGUAAGGAAAAUAACUAACAUUGCUCAGUUCCCUGUAGAGUUGCAGGGCGCUUUGACGUUAUCUCCCUUGGUUCUCCAUCAGGUCGUAGUGGACUAAUUUUACAGGCGAAGUUAAGUGACUUACCCAAAACCUCACAGCUAAUAAACGGCAGAGCCGGCACCCAGCUGUACUGGCUUCCAGCGCAUCCCAUUAUCUCCAUAAAUCCCCCUGAUUCAACUAAUAUUAGACGCCCCACAGGUAAGAUGCUUCAGAGUUAGAGGGGAGUUGAAGAUACCUUUGCCUUCAAAGAAGUAAGGAAUGAAACAAAGAUAAAACAGACAAUAAAAGACAAACCAUGAUAGGUGCCACGUGAAAAGUGGCAGAGUACUGCCGGGAAUCAAAGAACCGUGUAUAUCUGUCUUGGGGAUAAGGAAAGAAACGCAGCAUGAAGGAGUAGGCAUUUGGGAUUGACCUUGAAGGAGACAGGGAGAGUUUUACAGCAAGAAGGGAUAGCAUGAGAAUAUAUAUGAAGGCGAAUCAGUGAAAGUUGUGUUGGGGAAAGAGCAAAGACUCCAGGUAUGUUGAGAGGUAGAAAAGACAAAGGAGUAUGGGGCCUAAGAUACCAAAUGGAUGAAUUUAUAUUUAAUUCAGUAUUUUGAGUUUUUAUGGUUCAGAAGUUUGGGGGAAGAAAAGGAAGGUUUUUUUUUUCUUUAUGCUAGUGAUUUAUCUGUGAAGGGAAGCAGAAAUCAGAGGUGGAAAAACUGACAGAUCUACUGUAGGCCAGGUAAAAGGUAAUGAUGAGUCUGACCUAAAGGGACAGCCAGGGGAAUUUAAAGAGCAUAGUUGAGAGAUGAUGUGCAUGCAGAAUCUAUAGAAUUUGCUAACUGAUUGAUUAAUUGUGGGUAGGAAGAGAGAAAUCAAAGAAAGUGGAGGUUUUGAGUUUCUAGAUAAUUGCAAGAGAGAAAAGAGACAAUUACAAAGGAAAGGAGAAGGAGCUACUUCUUGAGAGAAGAUCAGUUUAGAUUUAGACAUUUUAAGAAUUCAAAGGGUUGUCAAGACAGCCAGACGGACAUGGACACUAAUAAGUUAGAAAUAAAGGUUUUGUAAUAUGGGAAAGAGGACUGAGCUAGAAAAUAGACUCAUAGAUAAUCAGCCUAGGAGUGAUAUUGCUGUGAGAUAAAAGAAGAAAACAAAGUCAGAAUCUUGGAAAACACCCUCUUCAGAGUCUCGCUGCUCAAAACGUGGUCAGUGGCCCAGCAGCACUGACAUGAGGACCUUAGUUGGAAACUCAGAAUCUCAGGCUCCACCCCAGACCUGCUGAACCAGCAUCUUCAACUUAACAAGAACCCGAAGAGAUUUGUGCCACAUCAAAAAGUUUGAGAAGCUCUGAUCUAGGUGAGCCAAGCCAGCAAAGAAAGGGGGUGGAGCAGAAAAUGGGAGGAGAAUAGGGUAAUGCAGAAUCAUCAAGACAAGGUAAAUUGGACUUUCACAAAAACGGGGCUGGAAGGAGUGUUGCUCAACAAUAUCCAAAACCACAGAGGUUGAAAAGCACAAGGAAAGAAGCUGGACCCUGGACACGGUGACUCUGAUUCAAUUAUGCAGAUGACCACAAGCCUCUGGGGUUGGCAGAGCCACAAGAAAGAAGGUGCCUGGAUGAAGGAGAGCUACCCACUGACCUGGACACCCAAUUAUAGGAUAGACAGUGAAGUGCAACUACAGCCCGCAAAUGAAAAUGAAUAAAAUUAAUCCAGCCCCUCAAGGCAGUCAUCUGUCUUAGAGCUAUUGGAAUCCUGGAUCAUUGUGGGAAAUGAAAAGAACUGGUUUUUAGCAAGGAGACCAAGAAACUCUACUCCCUAGGGGCUAGCAAUGAGAGAAAGGAAGCCUUGAGUCUUUGAGCACAGGGUGACAGUUUGGGUCCUAUGUGAGAUGAUCAAAUCCACAGCAACAGAGGAAAGGACAAAAGGAAAAGAUACUUCGAUGGAAUCAGCAGCCAUUGAUCCAAUGCCAACUCCAAGACUGGAACGUCGCAAUGAUAGUUCCAAGGCGGAAAUUUGACGUAAUUCUUUUCGACACAGUUUUACAGGUGUGACACCAUGAAGUCGUCCCACAUUUCCCACAACCUGAAUUUGGGAUGACAGUCGACUGAGAUUUUGUAAACUGAUUAUCAUCUGUUUCUGUUUUAUUCUCAUUACCUAACAUAUGCCCACUGGGGGGUGCUAAAGAACUAUGAAUUGGAGGUCUGGAUGCCCAUUUUAAUUCUUCUGAAAGCAUGCCUCCUUCUGGCUUCAGGACUCCAUCUCCAGCCUUAUGAUCUAAAAAUAAUCCCCAAACCAAAAAAUUAGAUAUUAUUUCCUCAAAAUUAGGUGUUUUAAUCAAAACAUCUUAACAUAAAUACAUUAUUAUCACCCAAUAUGCAUAAUGUUGUUCAACUUUUUUGUUAAAUGACUUAUUUUAGAUGAACAGAUGUGUGAAUAUGAAUAUUUUUAUUUCACUUACAGGCAUCUUGCAUGUGAAUAACUCACAACUUUAAUUCAUGGAACAAAUUGAGAAAUAGUCUUUUGGGGGUUUGGUACUCCCUGGAAACAUAAGAGUGCUUUGGGCACCUCUGGUGCCUUUCCAUGCCUGCCUUCUCUGCUGUUCUUGCUACUAGUGAAUUCUAAAUCAUGGCCAAGUGAUGCCAGCACUGGAUAAUAUUGGCUCUGCCCCAUAUCUCGAGGGAAAACUCUGGGACUUGGCAUUAUAUGUGUGGGAAUCUGGCCUUGGUUGGCACUCCCAGCAUGAUAGCAGGGUUCUGCUGUCUGAAUGUACUCUGGGGUGUGCGCCACAAUUUCUGUCAUCGAAAUGGAGAUGAGAGAAUAUGCCCUUGGUGGGGACACCCCACUGGAAUUAGAGUGAAGAGAUCAAAGCUAGAGGUUCUUAAAUCAAAGAAUGUCUAAUAGCAAAGACAAAAACUUGCUUAAGAGAAAUGCAUACAGGUACUAGACCUAAUAUGAUGAAAAAUGCUAACUUCAACAUAUUGAUGCAUGCUUAGUAUACUUUUAGUCCUGCAAAGACAAAAGUUUUUUGUUUGUUUUUUUUUGAGACGGAGUCUCGCUCUGUCGCCCAGGUUGGAGUGCAGUGGUGUGAUCUCGGCUUACUGCAAGCUCUGCCUCCUGGGUUCACACCAUUCUCCUGCCUCAGCCUCCGGAGUAGCUGGGACUACAGGCGCCCGCCACCACGCCCGGCUAAUUUUUUGUAUUUUUAGUAGAGAUGGGGUUUCACCGUGUUAGCCAGGAUGGUCUCGAUCUCCUGACCUCAGGUGAUCCGCCUGCCUUGGCCUCCCAAAGUGCUGGGAUUACAGGCAUGAGCCACCGCACCUGGCCCAGUCCUGCCAAGACAAAGUUUUAAAACACAGGUUGCACAUUGGCAGCUCUCAAGCCAAAUCUGGCCCAUAGACAUGGUUUGCUUGGCCUAUAAUGUUAGUAAUACUUGACCCAAGAUUUAAAAUUUGAAAAGUUUCAUAUAAAAAUAUAGAUUUACAGCUUUUCUAGAAAAACUAUAAGAGUUAACAGUUUCUGAAUUGCAACAGCAGCUGGAACACCGUUGCCACUGACCAUUUAGAUGACUGCUGCAGUCCCCACGGCUCACUCUGGUUCAGGUAGGGGUUCUAGUUUGUAACCCCUGGUUUAAAACAUAACUGACUCUCUAGUUUUUAAAAUUCUCUCAAAAUCAAAUAACCUGAACUAGCAAAUGAUCUAGAUCCUCGUACAUGGAACUCAUACUAAGUUGACCACAGACAGUGGCUCCCAAACUCUGCAGUACAUCAGAGUCACUGGGAAGCUUUAAAAAAUCCUGCUCCCUAGCUGGGUGCAGUGGUUUAUGCCUGUAGCCCCAGCUACUUGAGAGGCUGAGGUGGGAGGAUUGCUCAAGCCCAGGAGUUUGAGGCUGCAGUGAGCCAUGAAUGUACCACUACACUCCAGCCUGGGCAACAGAGCAAGACCCCAACUCUAAAAAAAAAUCCUGCUCCCCAGGUGACAGUAUCUGGGGGAAGGAGUAAGGCAUCUUAUUUUCAAAAGAUCAUAAGAAAAGAGGCUCAUUGCUGAGGCUCACUCCGGAGCCCACUUGGAUUCUUCACAAGAAAGUUUCCCUCUUCCAGAAUUUUAUAAUUGAGGGAACCGACUAGGGAAAGAUUAAUUUGCCCAAGGUCAAACAACUAGUAAAAGAAGUAAGGAUUCCAACCCAGAUCUUUUGACUCUAUUAUCCUUACAUAUAGUUUUAUAGUGAUUUAAAUUGAUACAAGGAUAGGUUUAAAUACAAGUAGAAUGCAGGUUCAUAUAAAACUGAUUUUAUCCUCAUGUUAGAAAACAUAUACACUGUAACAGAGGGAUGACCAUCAAGUGACCAAGAUAUUUUAGUCAAAAGAUGAAUUUUUCUGCAAUUGGAGAAUGCCAAAAAUAUUCAAAGAAAAUAUAAGUCUUGUAGGCAGUCUUCUAUCAAAACCCACUGAACCGCUGGGCACGGUGGCUCAUGCCUGUAAUUCCAGCACUUUGGGAGGCCAAGGCUGGUGGAUCACCUGAGGUCAGGAGUUUGAGACCAGCCUGGCCGACAUGGUCUCUACUAAAAAUACAAAAAAUUAGCUGGGCCUGGUGGCGGCACCUGUAAUCCCAGCUACUGAGGAGGCUGAGGCAGGAGAAUUGUUUGAACCUUGGAGGUAGAGGCUGCAGUGAGCUGAGAUAGCACCACUGCACUCCAGCCUGGGUAACAAGAGUGAAACUCCAUUCAAAAACAAAAAACAAACAAAAAAAAAACAAUGCACCAAAUACUAAGUUAUUAACUAGGAUACUGAUUAUUAAGCAUGUAAAACAUUUUAUGGAACUCAGAGUUUGAUGUAAAUUGCUAUAUUUUAUAAUUCAAACAAACCUUGUUUCAUGUCAUUAUAUUAGAGUAGCAUUAUGAGACAGGAUAUAGUGUAAGCUAUAUCCCCAAUAUAAUUGCAACUGUAUAUUUUAAAGCAUGGGGAAAAUAUGAAAAGAAUUAUGCUCAAAUGUGGGUAGGAUUAUAACUGAUUUGUUUUCUUCAUUUUCAGAUUUUUCUAUAAUGACUAUACAUUAUUUUUAUAGUCAAAAAUAGAAGUAUUUUAAAUGUUUCUAGGUAGAAUAGCAAAUUAGCUGAAAUAGUAUCUCCAACGUUAUUAUCAAGACUAGACUCCUUGGGUAAAUUGGUCAGAACAGUGUUGUUCUCAUUUUACACCUCUCCAAGAUUAACUAUGUUUUAGAUUUGUGUGUGUGUUUGGUUAAAGAGCCAGGAUGAAGAUCCAGAGUUCUUAAACCUGUAUACCACCAUACUACAUUGUCAUUUUAAAGAAAUGUCUAGUAGACUCGGUGGCAUAAACAUGGGCCAUUUACAAACUAGAUGUCUAAUAUCAGAUACCUCAAAUUUGACAGUAGACUUUUUUUCAAAGCUAAAGUGGUCUUAUGUUGACUAUUUUGUUUCUUACUUGAUACUUGUUUACUUUUUAAUUUUUGGCAAGUAAUGUUUCAAGUUAAAGUUUUAGCUAUAUAUAGCAGGCAGUAUUUCAAGUAAAUGAGUUACAUCAGUAAACACCUCUGUAUUACUAAACUGAGAAUCAGAAAAUGUAAUCUCUUUGGCAGGAUUCGUAUGUUUGUAUCACGUCUUUAUCCUCAGGCAACUUUUAUCUUGGAAUACUGAACCAGCAGUCAGAAUAUGAGGGACAUUAGACUGUGUUAUAGUUACUGUUCUGUCCUUAAGUCACUUGCCUUCUCUAAGUGUCAGUUGCCUCAUCUGAAAAUGGAGUUAGCAGACCCCAGCCUAUCCUGAGUUUGAGGGCUAAAGGGAAUUAUUCUUGAAAAUGUCUAUACAUGAUAAAUGUCACAAAUAUAACUUAGCAUUUUUUUUUUGAGACAGAGUUUCGCUCUUGUGGCCCAGGUCGGGGUGCAAUGUCGUGAUCUCAGCUCACUGCAACCUCUGCCUCCCGGGUUCAAGCGAUUCUCCUGCCUCAGCCUCCUGAGUAGCUGGGAUUACAGGCAUGCACCACCACACCUGGCUAAUUUUGUAUUUUUUAAUAGAGACGGGGUUUCACCAUGUUGGUCAGGUUGGUCUCGAACUCCUACCCUCCGGUGAUCCACCCGCCUUGGCCUCCCAAAGUGCUGGGAUUACAGGCAUGAGCCACCGCACCUAGCCAAUUCUACUUCUAUUACAUUUUCAGCAUAUAUCACUUCAUUGCUCCUCCAUAUUAUUUUUCACUGGUCUUCUUACAUCUUGUGUGCCCAUAUUUAAGUAGUUUUCUUUCCAGGUAAAAAAUACAUGUGUGCCUAAAAGAUUUUAAAGUCAACUUUUCAUAAACCAUACCUAAAUUAUCAAAGUUAUUAGAAUUAUUAGAAAGUAUUAGCUAAUUCUUUUAUAAAAUGUAGACUUUAUUAUUUUAGAAAUAUUGAUUCCUCUCUAUUCAGCUAUCUUAAAGAGGGUAUAUUUUAAUCAUCGCAAUAUAUUACCUUCAUAGUAUUUUUUACUUUUGCAAAGUAUAUUUUGUCAUGUUAUUUCAUUUAGGAAUGCACUAAAUCUACAUAUCUACAUAUGAUUAUACAAGGAAACAUCUUUGUCUCAAAAAUGGGUUCUAUUACAUUUUUUAAUUUCCAGGGGUCAUGAUAUAUAAAAAGACCUGAUUUAUCUUAAAAAUACAUACUUUUAUUCUUACCUACCAUACAUCUUUUUUUGUGAUAAUCAGAAGGCUUAAUUUACUAUAAAAUAGGAAAACAACAGCUAUGUUAGAUUAUAUAGUUAAUUUAGGGAUUAAAUGAGUUAAGGUCUACAAGCCCCUGGCACAUGGCAGACAAUCAAUAAUUGAUCAUUUCCUUUGCAUCUAUAAAUUUGUUCAUUCACUUCUCAUGUGGUUCUACCUUAGACAACGAUUUUUGUUUACAGAGACAAAUAGAAGUAUCUAAUCCUAAAUAACCCAAUCAAUUGGUAAAGGCUACACUACAAAGCUGGCAUGACUUCACCAAAUGCUAGAGAAACAGUGUUAAGAGUGACAACACUAAAAGUCUUACACUCUGAUGAUGCUAGUUGCCGCCGAAUUGCUUCCCCUACCAGUUCCUUAAGUUUCUUCUUAUGAUCCCGGCUGGUUUUCUUAUAGAAAUAAAGAUCUUUUUCCAACUGCUGGAUUUUAUCUUCAUAUGUUUUGAAAGUUUCCAUAAUGCCUUCUCCAUCUUGUUCUAUACAACAAAAAUUUGCAUUUAAAAUCAGUUUUAAAUAAAUGAUGCAAAAUUAUGUUUUUGUUUGUUUCUUUGUCUUUUUGAAACGGAGUCUUGCACUGUCGCCCAGGCUAGAGUGCAGUGGCGUGAUAUGCUCGGCUCACUGUAAGCUCCGCCACCCAGGUUCACACCAUUCUCCUGCCUCCGCCUCCCAAGUAGCUGGGACUACAGGUGCCCAGCACCACGCCCGGCUAAUUUUUUUGUAUUUUUAGUAGAGACGAGGUUUCAUCAUGUUAGCCAGGAUGGUCUCGAUCUCCUGACCUCGUGAACUGCC